rfam:Glomerella graminicola M1.001 genomic scaffold supercont1.1, whole genome shotgun sequence.
GGUCUGGUGGCUCAAUUGGUAGGGCGUCUGACUUCGAUUGAUUUUCACAAAAUUGAAUGAAUAUUCGGAAAUUUAUCAGAAGAUUGCGGGUUCGAGUCCUGUCCGGAUCG